rnacentral:rRNA from 1 species
GGCUCAGGAUGAACGCUAGCUACAGGCUUAACACAUGCAAGUCGAGGGGCAGCAUGGUCUUAGCUUGCUAAGGCCGAUGGCGACCGGCGCACGGGUGAGUAACGCGUAUCCAACCUGCCUUACACUCUUGGACAGCCUUCUGAAAGGGAGAUUAAUACAAGAUGUUAUCAUGAGUAAGCAUUUUCACAUGAUUAAAGGUUUACCGGUGUAAGAUGGGGAUGCGUUCCAUUAGAUAGUAGGCGGGGUAACGGCCCACCUAGUCUUCGAUGGAUAGGGGUUCUGAGAGGAAGGUCCCCCACAUUGGAACUGAGACACGGUCCAAACUCCUACGGGAGGCAGCAGUGAGGAAUAUUGGUCAAUGGACGAGAGUCUGAACCAGCCAAGUAGCGUGAAGGAUGAAGGUUCUAUGGAUUGUAAACUUCUUUUAUACGGGAAUAAACGAAUCCACGCGUGGAUUUUUGCAUGUACCGUAUGAAUAAGGAUCGGCUAACUCCGUG